rnacentral:rRNA from 1 species
GGAUGCGAGCGUUAUCUGGAUUUAUUGGGUUUAAAGGGUGCGUAGGCGGACGCUUAAGUCAGCGGUAAAAAUGCGGUGCUCAACGCCGUCGAGCCGUUGAAACUGGCGUUCUUGAGUGGGCGAGAAGUAUGCGGAAUGCGUGGUGUAGCGGUGAAAUGCAUAGAUAUCACGCAGAACUCCGAUUGCGAAGGCAGCAUACCGGCGCCCUACUGACGCUGAGGCACGAAAGCGUGGGUAUCGAAC